rnacentral:rRNA from 1 species
AUUGAACGCUGGCGGCAUGCCUUACACAUGCAAGUCGAACGGCAGCACGGGGGCAACCCUGGUGGCGAGUGGCGAACGGGUGAGUAAUGCAUCGGAACGUGCCCAGUAGUGGGGAUAACUAGUCGAAAGAUUAGCUAAUACCGCAUACGACCGUACGGGUGAAAGCGGGGAUUCGCAAGAACCUCGCGCUAUCGGAGCGGCCGAUGUCUGAUUAGCUAGUUGGCGGGGAAAAGCCCACCAAGGCUUCGAUCAGUAGCUGGUCUGAGAGGACGACCAGCCACACUGGGACUGAGACACGGCCCAGACUCCUACGGGAGGCAGCAGUGGGGAAUUUUGGACAAUGGGCGCAAGCCUGAUCCAGCCAUGCCGCGUGC